AAAAUUACUUUUAUCCUGAGAUAAUCACACAAUACUAGUCCCUUCUUCAAGAUACAUUAGUCAAAUAGUCAGAUCAUAGUCUCAGAGAACAAAUAAGACGUAUGGUCACUACUUACAUCACAUAAUCAUCAUUCAACCAUGAUUUUACAAGAUGAUAUUUAUGAUUAAACUCUUGGGUCUGACCCAUGCUGCACUUUCUCAAUAGCUCCUUUUUCAAGAUGCCGAGACGAUCGAACGCAUGAGACGGCCGACAAAUCGAAGGCAUGUCAACAACUCCGGCAACUUGCAUCCAAUAUACGACGGCGACGCCCAAACAAUCGAAGGCGCAAAGAAACGCCCACCAAAUUGAAGACACGGCAUCAACACCAUCAACCUCAGGUAAUAUCCACAUGCAAUUCCUCACAUGUGUGCCAGCAUUUUGAUCUCAACUCAACCUUUCUUCUAAUAUUCUAUGUCAAAACUCUUCUGAUACUAAACUAUAAAGCAUGUUUUUAAUGCAUCCUGACACUACCAUGACACCUAUUGAACAAUUAUUGAUUUAUAGUGCCAUCCAGACAAAUGUACUGUAUGUGACACCUUAUUAGUCUCUUCAUCAUAUCUCCAAAUGCACUUUCAUGUCUGGAAUGACAAACAUUAUUAAGUACUCCCUCUGUAACUUAAUAUAAGACGUUUUUUGAUAGUGUCAAAAAACGUCUCAUUAAGUUAUGGAGGGAGUACAACAUAAAUCAUAGUACAUGAUACUCCCUCUGUCUCAAAAUUCUCGUCUUAGAUUUGUCUAAAUACGGAUGUACCUAGUUAUGUUUUAGUGUUAGAUACAUCCGUAUCUAGACAAAUGUAUGACAAGAAUUUUGGGACGGAGGGAGUACUAUAUUAAGGAAACUCUAUACGUCACUAACAAAAUCACAUUUGUAGAGAUGACUGUCCAGCAUACGUCAGCCCCAGCAGCUCAUCAUACAAAAAGAAAGGAAGAACAACCUCUAAACUCAAGGAGCACAAAGCGGACAAGGACUGCAGAGGGAAGAAGAAAUACGAACACAGAGGCUCCUAAACGAUUAAGAAAGGAUAGUGCUGAAGAAGAUAAGGAAUUGAAGUGUGCAAGAAGCGGAAGCAACAAAAACAACAUCAAAAUCAAUGUUGGAGACAACAACAGAACCACAGCCUCGACAAAAGCUAAUAGAAAGGCAUGGAACUUCGGAAGGCCAACAUACAAAUGCCAGUAUUGCAAAGCAUUGCUAUGGUGUGAAGAAAGAUUAAAUUCAAACAAAGGAACUAAGACACCCUCUUUUGGAAUAUGCUGCAAACAGGGAAAAAUCGACCUGCCACCACUAAGAGAGCCUCCACCAUACCUCAGAAAUCUCUUAAGAAGUGAAGGACAGGAUUCAGUAAACUUCAAAGAAAAUAUAAGGUCAUACAACUCAAUGUUUUCAUUCACAUCCAUGGGAGGAGUUGUGGACAAGGAAAUAAACACUCGCAAAGGACCUUAUGUUUUUCGUUUGCAUGGACAGAAUUACCACCAUAUCGGAACUCUUUUACCUGAAGGUACAAACAAACCUCGGUUUGCACAGCUGUACAUCUAUAAUACCGAAAAUGAGGUGGCAAACAGGAUAAGUGCAUCAAGAUGCAAUGAUAAUAAAUCAACAGUGGACCCCAACAUUGUCAAAGAAUUGCAAAUAAUGCUCGACGACAACAACAUCCUCGCAAAAACAUUCAGAAUGGCAAGAGAUAGAUUCCAAGAAGGAGACUACCAUGAUUACACACUUCGGAUACUAGGAAAAAGGAACGGAACACACAACCUUCCAUCCGCAUCUGAAGUUGCAGCAUUGGUAGUAAGAGAUCCAACUGGAGAGAGUGAAGGACGUGACAUUGUUGUUGAGUACAAAAAUAUGGUGCCACAAAGGAUAUCAGAGAUCCACCCGAAAUUCAUGUCCAUGCAAUAUCCGUUAUUGUUCCCAUAUGGAGAAGAUGGUUUUAAACUUGAGAUACCGUACAAGAAAACAAAAGGAGCUAAAAACAGCAGGAAAUACGUAACGUUGUUGGACUACUAUGCAUUCUACCUACAGCAACGUCCAGACCAAGGAAUGUUAUUGCUCAAGUCUGGGCAUCUGUCACUGCAAUUUUGGGUGGAUGUAUACACAUGUAUCGAGCAAAAUAGACUAAACUGGAUCCGACACAAUCAAGGAAAGCUAAGAACUGAAAUUUACAAUGGAUUGCAGGAUGCAAUUAAGCGAGGGGACACAAGAACAGAGCAGGUUGGAAAGAGGAUAAUUGUGCCUUCAUCUUUUACAGGUGGUAGAAGGAACAAGGCACAAUACUUGCAAGAUGCAUUCGCAAUAUGUCGUUGGGCUGGAUACCCAGACCUGUUUAUAACAUUCACAUGCAAUGCAAAGUGGCCUGAGAUCCAAUACAUGCUAGAUGAAGCGGGAGGUGACCAAAAGCCAGCCGAUCGGCCAGAUAUUUUGGACAGAGUAUUUAUGAUAAAACUAAAGGAGCUAAUGAGAGACAUAAAAGAGAAGAAAUACUUUGGAGAAACACUUGCAAGUAAGUCCCAUCGACUAUCAAUAUUUACUCUUGCAUGUGUCAUCUUAUAGUCAGACAGAUUCUUACCCUUUAGUAAGAUGCAUUUCAAUUUUACCUAAAGUUAACAAACUAUUAUUAACCAACUGCAGUUAUCUACCAAUAGAAUUCCAGAGGAGAGGACUCCCGCAUGCCCACAUACUAAUAUUUUUUAAGGACAAAGACAAGUACCCAGAACCAUCGCAAAUCGAUAAAAUAAUAAGCGCUGAGAUCCCAAACAAGGACGAGGAUCCUGAGGCAUUUGAAGCUGUCGAGAACUUCAUGAUGCAUGGCCCAUGUGGAGAGGCUAAGCAAAACUCGCCAUGCAUGGUGGACCAUAGAUGCAGCAAGCAUUUCCAAAAAGAUACAAUGUUAGUACUACCAUCGAUGAGGACGGGUUUCCAGUAUAUAAAAGGAAGGACGACGGAAGGCAAAUCAAAAAGGGAGUGGUCAUGCUCGACAACAGAUUUGUUGUGCCAUACAACCGAAAUCUUCUGGUCAAAUUUCAAGCUCACAUAAAUGUCGAAUGGUGCAAUAGGUCUAGAUCAAUCAAGUACCUAUUUAAGUAUAUCGACAGAGACAACGAUCAAGUUACAACCUUGCUCAAGGAAAGGCUCGCAGCAAACGAAACUGACGAGAUCAAGAAAUACCUAGAGAUGAGAUACAUAUCAACAUCAGAAGCAUGCUGGAGGAUAUUCCAGUUUGAUCUUCACUAUCGUGAUCCAGCUGUUGAGAGGCUACCUUUCCAUCUUGAAAAUGAGCAGCAAGUGAUUUUUCCUGACUCGACUGAUCUUGACAAGAUAGUUACAAGAGAAGGAUCUAAAAG
rnacentral:lncRNA from 1 species